GACGAACGCUGGCGGCGUGCUUAACACAUGCAAGUCGAACGGAAAGGCCCUGCUUUUGUGGGGUGCUCAAGUGGCGAACGGGUGAGGAACACGUGAGUAACCUGCCCUUGACUUUGGGAUAACUUCAGGAAACUGGGGCUACUACCGGAUAGGAGCUCCUGCUGCAUGGUGGGGGUUGGAAAGUUUCGGCGGUUGGGGAUGGACUCGCGGCUUAUCAGCUUGUUGGUGGGGUAGUGGCUUACCAAGGCUUUGACGGGUAGCCGGCCUGAGAGGGUGACCGGCCACAUUGGGACUGAGAUACGGCCCAGACUCCUACGGGAGGCAGCAGUGGGGAAUAUUGCACAAUGGGCGGAAGCCUGAUGCAGCAACGCCGCGUGCGGGAUGACGGCCUUCGGGUUGUAAACCGCUUUCGCCUGUGACGAAGCGUGAGUGACGGUAAUGGGUAAAGAAGCACCGGCUAACUACGUG
rnacentral:rRNA from 1 species